ensembl:lncRNA DLGAP4-AS1 DLGAP4 antisense RNA 1
GGAGCGCCUACUGUGCUCCUUGCCGGGGUGGGGGUCGUUACCGAGUGGGAACUUCUGCAAAUCCUGACUUUUGUCACUUCGCGCCCCGCACAAGAUGUCCUGCCGGCGGUGCGAUUGGUCCCGUUGCUUCGAGGGGAAACUGAGGCCACUUAGUCCGGGCACUUACCCGCAGCUAGUUAAGGACUAGGCUCUGAUGGAGACGCUUGUUACGACCUCAAUGGCCUGUAGAAUCUGGGAGGCCGCCUCCGACCUAAGCCCAAAAAGCACAUGAUCGGGCUCACAGGGGGCGGCCAGAGGUGAAAACAGCCAACGCUUUACAACGACGCUGUGCGGGGCACUUCGUGUGUGUCAUCCCGUCUCAUCCUCGGGUGAUAGGAACUGUUCAUUCGGGAAAAUUGCAAACAACUAAAUACCCCUCACCAGGAGCUGGCCCAUUAUAGCAACUCUGAGACCUCUCUACCGCAGGCUCUUAAAAUGGGGAGUGGAUUCCUGAUAAAAUGUGAGUUCAGCACUCUCUUGCCUUCUGUCCUGUGUACUCUCUCACCAUGUGAGGCCUUCCACCAUGUGAUGAGGCAGCAAGAAGGCCCUCACCAGAUGCAGUUCCUUGAUCUUGGACUUCCCACCCUCCAAAACUGUGAGCCAAAUAAACUUCUGUUCAUUAUAA